rnacentral:rRNA from 1 species
UACGUAGGGUGCGAGCGUUGCCCGGAUUUAUUGGGCGUAAAGGGCGCGCAGGCGGUCACGCACGUCCGUUGUGAAAUCGCUCGGCUCAACUGGGCGGGGUCAGCGGAUACGGCGUGACUGGAGCAAGCUAGGGGGCAAUGGAAUUCCCGGUGGAGCGGUGAAAUGCGUAGAGAUCGGAAAGAACACCAACGGCGAAAGCACUCUGCUGGGCCGACACUGACACUGAGAGACGAAAGCUAGGGGAGCGAAUGGG